rnacentral:rRNA from 1 species
GACGAACGCUGGCGGCGUGCUUAACACAUGCAAGUCGAACGGAAAGGCCCUGCUUUUGUGGGGUGCUCGAGUGGCGAACGGGUGAGUAACACGUGAGUAACCUGCCCUUGACUUUGGGAUAACUUCAGGAAACUGGGGCUAAUACCGGAUAGGAGCUCCUGCUGCAUGGUGGGGGUUGGAAAGUUUCGGCGGUUGGGGAUGGACUCGCGGCUUAUCAGCUUGUUGGUGGGGUAGUGGCUUACCAAGGCUUUGACGGGUAGCCGGCCUGAGAGGGUGACCGGCCACAUUGGGACUGAGAUACGGCCCAGACUCCUACGGGCGGCAGCAGUGGGGAAUAUUGCACAAUGGGCGGAAGCCUGAUGCAGCAACGCCGCGUGCGGGAUGACGGCCUUCGGGUUGAAAACCGCUUUCGCCUGUGACGAAGCGUGAGUGACGGUAAUGGGUAAAGAAGCACCGGCUAACUACGUG